GAAAGAUGAUCUUCGGAGAAUCGAGUAGAGUGGCGCACGGGUGAGUAACGCGUAAGUAAUCUGCCCCUUCAUCUGGAAUAACUCAGCGAAAGCUGUGCUAAUACCGGAUACGCUGGAAACAGGAAAGAUGGCCUCUUCUUGAAAGCUAUCGUGGAGGGAUGAGCUUGCGUCCCAUUAGCUUGUUGGUGGGGUAAUGGCCUACCAAGGCGACGAUGGGUAGCUGGUCUGAGAGGAUGAUCAGCCACACUGGAACUGACACACGGUCCAGACUCCUACGGGAGGCAGCAGUGAGGAAUUUUGCGCAAUGGGGGAAACCCUGACGCAGCAACGCCGCGUGAGUGAUGAAGGCUUUCGGGUCGUAAAGCUCUGUCAAGUGGGAAGAACUCCCGUGAGGUUAAUACCCUCAUGGUUUGACGGUACCACUGAAGGAAGCACCGGCUAACUCCGUGCCAGCAGCCGCGGUAAUACGGGGGGUGCAAGCGUUAUUCGGAUUUACUGGGCGUAAAGCGCGCGUAGGCGGCCGUUUAAGUCAGAUGUGAAAGCCCGGGGCUCAACCCCGGAAGUGCAUUUGAUACUAUUCGGCUUGAGUAUGGGAGAGGGAAGUGGAAUUCCUGGUGUAGAGGUGAAAUUCGUAGAUAUCAGGAGGAACACCGGUGGCGAAGGCGACUUCCUGGACCAAUACUGACGCUGAGGCGCGAAGGCGUGGGUAGCAAACAGGAUUAGAUACCCUGGUA
rnacentral:rRNA from 1 species